rnacentral:rRNA from 1 species
AGACCCGAAACCCGGUGAUCUAGCCAUGGGCAGGUUGAAGGUUGGGUAACACUAACUGGAGGACCGAACCGACUAAUGUUGAAAAAUUAGCGGAUGACCUGUGGCUGGGGGUGAAAGGCCAAUCAAACCGGGAGAUAGCUGGUUCUCCCCGAAAGCUAUUUAGGUAGCGCCUCGUGAAUUCAUCUCCGGGGGUAGAGCACUGUUUCGGCUAGGGGGCCAUCCCGGCUUACCAACCCGAUGCAAACUGCGAAUACCGGAGAAUGUUAUCACGGGAGACACACGGCGGGUGCUAACGUCCGUCGUGAAGAGGGAAACAACCCAGACCGCCAGCUAAGGUCCCAAAGUCAUGGUUAAGUGGGAAACGAUGUGGGAAGGCCCAGACAGCCAGGAUGUUGGCUUAGAAGCAGCCAUCAUUUAAAGAAAGCGUAAUAGCUCACUGGUCGAGUCGGCCUGCGCGGAAGAUGUAACGGGGCUAAACCAUGCACCGAAGCUGCGGCAGCGACACUCAGGUGUUGUUGGGUAGGGGAGCGUUCUGUAAGCCUGUGAAGGUGUGUCGUGAGGCAUGCUGGAGGUAUCAGAAGUGCGAAUGCUGACAUAAGUAACGAUAAAGCGGGUGAAAAGCCCGCUCGCCGGAAGACC